rnacentral:lncRNA from 1 species
AGGGCUUGCCCAAACGGGUCAGGCCAUUGGCGGGCCGGACCAAAAUGGCCCGGGUUUUGGUGGGCUGGAAUUAAGCGGCCCGUGGCCCGGGUUGGGCCGGCCCGGCCCACAGACUUUUUAAUUUAUUUUUUUAAAAAAAAUCUGUAAACAAGUGAGAGGAUACAAAAAGUAAAUCAAAAUUAAAUGUUGCAAAGUAAAGCCCCUCUCAUACAUAAACAUAUAGUAAAUUGCAGUCCUAAAAUGCACAUUACUCUGUGCAUUCUUAUAUAUACUGUCGCUGCUGUGUCUAUUACUAAUUUACUGUUGUGUCUUCACUUUCUGCACUACUGUUACUAUUAUCAGUGUCCUCGUCUUGCAUCUUUCCAAUUUCUUCAUCGACCCAUUUCCCAGCCAAGUUUCUUGGUGAUUCCCUGAUGCCAAGGUGGUCAUCGUAAUGACCCAGCAGCAUCUCUUCAACAACCUUAUUCUCUCUUCUCCUCCUGACACAUACUAACAAGUUAGCUUACUAACUUUUAGCUUCCAUCUCAUAUGCAAUAUAAUAACCGUGUAAACAUGUAUUUCUUCCUUUCCAUAGCCAACUGAAAUUAUCAACUAUAUGCAUACUAACUGAUUUUGAAAAUAACCAAAUCACAGUUUACACCUUAUACCAAUUGUUUUUGCAAAAUCUAAUAUACUAACUGUUUUCGAAAACCAAUUACCAAUCUUUGCAUAUUCAAUUCCCAUGAUAGCAUAACAUAAUCAUUAUCAAAACUAAACCCAUAAUUAAUUCAAUAAAUAUUAUACUAACAAAUAAACAAACCCAUCUCAGUUAGCUAUCUUUGAUAAUUUCCAUAUAUCUAACUAUUUUGCAUACAUGAUACAUAUAACCAUAUGACUGAUAUGAGCUAACUUCCAAUUUAAUUACCAUAUAUAUUACCAUGUAUUCUAUUUCUAAUUACUGGAUAACACGAUUAUUAAUAAUCCACACAAUUCCAGAAUUCCUAUCUUUAAAUUCUCAUCCACGAAAUCAAUCCAAUUUAUACACUAACUGAUUGUUUUUGCAAUUUAUGUUUAUGUAAUCAACAUUUGAUAAUCUCUUCUUUCUAUAAGAACAUAUAAUAUCAUAUAAAUCCAAAAAUAUACAGAUAAAUUGCUUGCAGCUAAACACAAAAACAUAUAAUAUCAUAAACCCACAAAUAUAAAUUGAUAAAUUCUAGAACUAGUCUAAUCCGGUUCAUAAACCCUUAAAAUAUCUUAUUGAAACGAAAGCGGAAAAAUACCUGAGACAGUGAGACGAGGACGUCGAGGAGUAGGGUUUUAGCCUUUUAGGGGAGAGGAGGAACUGCCGAAGUGCCGAACUAUGAAGCAGUGAAGUGAGGUCGAGGAGAAUAGCGUUGAUCGAUCGAAGUGAAGUGAAUUGAGGUGGUGUUGUAUCAGACUCUCAAUCCCUUACUCCCUUUAUUAUGCCGGUAUUUAGCCCUUA